rnacentral:rRNA from 1 species
UACGUAGGGUGCGAGCGUUAAUCGGAAUUACUGGGCGUAAAGCGUGCGCAGGCGGUUCGUUGUGUCUGUGGUGAAAGCCCCGGGCUUAACCUGGGAAUGGCCAUGGAAACUGGCGGACUUGAGUGUGGCAGAGGGGGGUGGAAUUCCGCGUGUAGCAGUGAAAUGCGUAGAGAUGCGGAGGAACACCGAUGGCGAAGGCAGCCCCCUGGGCUGACACUGACGCUCAGGCACGAAAGCGUGGGGAGCAAACAGG